rnacentral:rRNA from 1 species
AGAGUUUGAUCCUGGCUCAGGAUGAACGCUAGCGGCGCGCCUUAUGCAUGCAAGUCGAACGGUCUCUCGCAAGAGAGAUAGUGGCAAACGGGUGAGUAAUAGAUGAAUAACCUGCCUUUAAGUGGGGGAUAACACUUCGAAAGAAGUGCUAAUACCGCAUGUGAUGCUCUUUCAUAAGAAAGAUCAUUAAAACCGCAAGGUGCUUGAAGAGGGGUUUGUCUCCGAUUAGCUUGUUGGUGGGGUAACGGCCUACCAAGGCAAUGAUCGGUAGCUGGUCUGAGAGGAUGGUCAGCCACACUGGAACUGAGACACGGUCCAGACUCCUACGGGAGGCAGCAGCAAGGAAUCUUGGGCAAUGGGCGAAAGCCUGACCCAGCGACGCCGCGUGAGGGAUGAAUGCCUUCGGGUUGUAAACCUCUUUUCUCAGGGAAGAAUAAUGACGGUACCUGAGGAAUAAGUCUCGGCUAACUACGUGCCAGCAGCCGCGGUAAUACGUAGGAGGCGAGCGUUAUCCGGAUUUAUUGGGCGUAAAGUGGGCGUAGGUGGUCUUUCAAGUCAGAUGUGAAAUCUCCCGGCUCAACUGGGAGGGGUCAUCUGAUACUGUUGGACUUGAGUAUGGCAGGAGAAAACGGAAUUCCCGGUGUAGUGGUGAAAUGCGUAGAUAUCGGGAGGAACACCAGAGGCGAAGGCGGUUUUUCUAGGCCAAAACUGACACUGAGGCCCGAAAGCGUGGGGAGCGAACAGGAUUAGAUACCCUGGUAGUCCACGCCCUAAACACUGGGUACUAGGUAUAGGGAGUAUCGACCCUUUCUGUGCCGAAGCUAACGCUUUAAGUACCCCGCCUGGGGAGUACGGUCGCAAGACUAAAACUCAAAGGAAUUGACGGGGGCCCGCACAAGCAGCGGAGCGUGUGGUUUAAUUCGAUUCUACACGAAGAACCUCACCAGGGUUUGACAUGUUAGAAGUAGUGAACCGAAAGGGGAACGACCUGUUAAGUCGGGAGCUAUCACAGGUGCUGCAUGGCUGUCGUCAGCUCGUGCCGUGAGGUGUAUGGUUAAGUCCUGCAACGAGCGCAACCCUUAUUGCUAGUUAUAUUCUCUAGCGAUACUGCCUCGCAAAACGGGGAGUAAGGUGGGGAUGACGUCAAGUCAGCAUGGCCCUUAUACCCUGGGCUACACACACGCUACAAUGGGCGGUACAAUGGGUUGCCACCGGGUGACCGGGAGCUAAUCCCCAAAACCGCCCUCAGUUCGGAUUGCAGGCUGCAACUCGCCUGCAUGAAGUCGGAGUUGCUAGUAAACGCGUGUCAGCAUAGCGCGUUGAAUACGUUCUCGGGCCUUGUACACACCGCCCGUCACGUCAUGAAAGUUGGUAACACCUGAAGUCGAUAGGCUAACCCGCAAGGGAGGCAGUCGCCCAAGGUGGGACUGAUAAUUGGGACGAAGUCGUAACAAGGUA